rnacentral:rRNA from 1 species
GACAUUGGUUACCUUGUCUAGCCUGAGCUGGUGGGCCCUUCAGGGUAACGAGCGGCGAACGGGUGAGUAACACGUGAGCAACCUGCCCCUGACUCUGGGAUAAGCGGUGGAAACGCCGUCUAAUACCGGAUACGACCUUCCGUCUCAUGACGGUGGGUGGAAAGUUUUUCGGUCAGGGAUGGGCUCGCGGCCUAUCAGCUUGUUGGUGGGGUAACGGCCUACCAAGGCGAUUACGGGUAGCCGGCCUGAGAGGGCGACCGGCCACACUGGGACUGAGACACGGCCCAGACUCCUGCGGGAGGCAGCAGUGGGGAAUAUUGCGCAAUGGGCGAAAGCCUGACGCAGCGACGCCGCGUGGGGGAUGACGGCCUUCGGGUUGUAAACCUCUUUUACCACCAACGCAGGCCCGGGGUUCUCUCCGGGUUGACGGUAGGUGGGGAAUAAGGACCGGCUAACUACGUGCCAGCAGCCGCGGUAAUACGUAGGGUCCGAGCGUUGUCCGGAAUUAUUGGGCGUAAAGAGCUCGUAGGCGGCGUGUCGCGUCUGCUGUGAAAGACCGGGGCUUAACUCCGGUUCUGCAGUGGAUACGGGCAUGCUAGAGGUAGGUAGGGGAGACUGGAAUUCCUGGUGUAGCGGUGAAAUGCGCAGAUAUCAGGAGGAACACCGGUGGCGAAGGCGGGUCUCUGGGCCUUACCUGACGCUGAGGAGCGAAAGCAUGGGGAGCGAACAGGAUUAGAUACCCUGGUAGUCCAUGCCGUAAACGUUGGGCGCUAGGUGUGG